UCUAGUUGUCAUGUCAAAAAACCACUUAGACAGACUAUGAAGAGAUACAUAGGGUGAGAAACGGAGGCCUUCAGCCAACAGCUGGGAGAAGCUGAGUCCCGUCAGCAAUUCAAAAGACUGCAGCCCCAGCCAAGAGUUUGAUGUAACCUCAGGAGAGACCCUGAGCCAGAACCACCUAGGCCAAUGAGCUAUACCUAGUGAUUCCAAAGUCCACAUAUAUUUACUCUGUUCUCACUGUGCAAAGUAAGUAACCGCUCUGAAGUCAAAAAAGCUGGGAUACAUGAAGACUGCCAUCCCUUGAGUCACUUGCCCUGUAGCUGCCACUGUUGGAAAAGGGCUUGAUUCUGUGUCCUUGUGCCCACUUUGAAAAGCCCUGGGAAGUCCUUGGAGUCAGAUGAUCAGGCCUCCACCACUCUGCCAAAAAGUCUGUUCACAAUGGUGCUUCUAGAAUUUCCUUACAGGAAGAGUGAAGAGUAAGCAUUUGGAUUGGACCAGGAUUUGGAGAACUUGUCAUGUUGCUCUAUGUGCAUAUGAAAUGCAUCAUUGUAACUUAGAAUGUGAAUUAUAGAACAAACAUGGAAGUUGGAAAAAUAUUCU
rnacentral:lncRNA from 1 species